UUUUUUUUUUUUUUGCGUAUUUAAUGAACGGCUAGGUUAUAAAAUUAAGGCGUUGCUGAAAACGAAACAAAUAGCGUCUCUUUUAAAAGUUUGGCUAUUUUCCCUAAAAGGUAACUUUGUUCAAGUUUUUGCUUGACGUGUAAAUCCCAUGAAUUGAAACAUCUUAGUAAUGGCAUAGAAGUAAAAUCAAAAUAAUUAGCGUUUAAAUGACAUUCUGCUAAAUAAAAUGAGAAUUGGGCUAGUAGAGGUGAUUGAAUACCCACAAGAUUAGUAAUAUUUCUUUAGGCCAAAAAAUUAUACAAUUAUUAGUACCAAAGAUGGUUAAAGUCCAGUAGGUUUUCUUUUAUGAAAUAGAUAUUUAUCUACUAUAUGAAAUAUUACUAGUAAAGUACAACAUUGGCCGCUGACUAUGUUGGAAUAAAAAAAGACCACUUUUUAAAUCUUAAAAAUCUUUAUAAACCGACAGUGAACACAGUACCGUGAGGGAAAGCUGCAAAGUUACUUUGGCAGGUAGGUGUAAUAGAUCCUAAAAUAGAAUACGUAAAGCAGUUAGAUGAUUAUUUUUAGAAUUUCUAACGUACCUUUUGCAUAAUGGGUUAGCUAGUUAAUUUAUUUAGCGAGCUUAAGAUUUUAUUCGAAGGCGCAGUGAAGGCAAAUAGUAAAAUAUUAGUCAAGUUAAAUAAAUUAGACCCGAAACCAGGUGAGCUAGUCAUGGCCAGGAAUAUGUUGCGUAGCGAUGUAAGACCGAACCCGUAUCUGUGGCAAAAGAUUGGGAUGAGCUGUGAUUAGGGGUGAAAGGCUUAUCAAACUUGGAAAUAGCUGGUUCUCCACGAAAUUUAUUUAGGUAAAGCGUUAGUUUAUAGUUUUUCCGGUAAAGCUCUUUUUAAUGUAGGGGGUUUCGAUCUACCGAAGUUAAUCAAACUAAGAAUGGUUAAAUUAGAAAAAUAACAGACAAGCACAGAGCGCUAAGGUCCUGCUGCUAAAAAAGAAAUAGCUUAGAAUUAUAGUUAAGGUCUUUAAAAAAAAUUAAGUGACAAAAAAACCACUAGCGAUCCGUAAAUACUAGGAGGUGGGCUUAGAGGCAGCCAUCCUUUUAAGAAAGCGUAACAGCUCACUAGUAUUUAAUUGCUAGUGGUUGAUUAAUGUAGGAGUCUUAAAUUUUUUACCAAAACUUAAUUAGAUUUUCCUUUAAGAAAACUUAGGUAGUGGAGCGUAAUAUUUUUUGAAAGAAAAUUGAUAAAUUUAAUUAUUAUUGAUAAUGCUAACAUGAGUAACACUAUUAAUGUGAGAAUCAUUAAUACCGAAUACCCAAGGUUUCCGUCGGCUAGGAUCUUCCACCGCGGGUUAUACGAUCCCUAAUUUUUUUAUUGGAUAAUAAAAAAGAUGGGUUUAUCCUUUAUUACUAAUUUAGAAAAUAAUAUUUACUUUUUUUAAUAAUCAAUUGUUUUUACAACGUUAACAUUUGGUUAUUUUUAAGGGCUUGAAAAAACUUUUAUUAUUAAUAAUCGUACUAAAACCAACGCUGGUGGGUUAGUAAAGUAUACUAAGGUACAUGAGUGAAUAAUACUGAAGGAACUAGGCAAUUUGACCCCGUAACUUCGGGAGAAGGGGUGUCCAAAUAUUUUUUUUUUGGAUGGCACGAACCAGGAAGUGGCGACUGUUUAAUAAAAACACAAGAAUCUGCAAAAAUGAAAAUUUAUGUAAAGGUUCUGACACCUGCCCGGUGCUGGUAGGUGAAAUUACAUAGGCAUCAUAUAUUUAAUUUAAAAAAAUAAAUCUUAACUAUGUUCUAAAUCCCAGUAAACGGCGGCCGUAACCAUGACGGUCCUAAGGUAGCGAAAUUCCUUGUCAGGUAAGUUCUGACGCGCAUGAAUGGUGUAACGACUGCUUCACUGUCUCCAGUAUUAGCUCAGUGAAUUUGAAUUGUUUGUGCAGAUGCGAACAUGGAAUGGCGGGACGGAAAGACCCCGUGCACCUUUACUGCAUUUUUACAUCGUUUGAAAUAGACUUUGUGCAGCGUAAAUGUUAUUCCUAGGAGUUUUUUGCGUCAGCAAUUUAAGGAGGAAACCAUGAAACAGCAUUCUUAGUCUAUUUUGGACUAAUUAGUAAUUCUAAGAUUAUGUAAAUUUGGUAGUUUGGCUGGGGCGGUCAUCUCCUAAAAGGUAACGGAGAUGCGCAAAGGUAAACUUCCGAUAAUAUAUGUUAUUGGAUUAGUGUAAUGGCAAAAGUUUGCUUAACUGUAAGAUUGAUAGAUCAAGCAGAAACGAAAGUUGGUCAUAGUGACCCGAUAGUACUGCGUGGAAAGGCUAUCGAUCAUCGGAUAAAAGGUACGCUGGGGAUAACAGGCUGAUGGUCCCCGAGAGUACAUAUCAACGGGCUCGUUUGGCACCUCGAUGUCGACUCAUCACAUCCUGGAGCUGUAGUAGGUUCCAAGGGUUCGGCUGUUCGCCGAAUAAAGUGGUACGUGAGUUGGGUUUAAAACGUCGUGAGACAGUUUGGUCCCUAUCUACCAUUCCUAUUUUUUUUUGAAAAUUGAGAAAAGUUAAUCCUAUUACGAGAGGACCGGAGAAUAUUUACCACUGGUGGAUCGAUUGUUAACGCUAAUAGCACUGUCGAGUAGCUAAGUAAAAAAAUCAGAACCGCUGAAUUCAUCUAAGUGGGAAAGAUAAUUUCAAUAUUAUUUUCAAUUAAGGUCACAGUGGACUACUGUGUAUAAAAAUAUUAAUGCUCUAGUUGUAAUACUAUGUUUGCUAUAUUUAAAACCUUCUAUAAUAAUUAUA
rnacentral:rRNA from 1 species